GCGCCAAAAGUCCAGGCUGUGAAUCGACACUCGUGUUGAAUUGUGGAAUGCCGGUCGGUUUGUUCAAGUUGUGGAUUAAGUCCUCUGGAAUGGGGCAGCAGAGAGGGUGAUACUCCCGUUCGUCUGCAACUGUGAAAGCUGAUCCAAGAGUCGAGUUGUUUGGGAUUGCAGCUCUAAGUGGGUGGUAAAUUCCAUCCAAGACUAAAUACUGGUGGGAGACCGAUAGCGAACAAGUACCGUGAGGGAAAGAUGCAAAGCCGCGCGAGAGCGCUGUCAAAGAGUACCUGAAAUUGCUGAAAAGGAAGCGAAGGAAACCAGUGUGAGCCUACCUGCACUUCCCCAAAUGCUUGUGUUUGGGGCGC
rnacentral:rRNA from 1 species